rnacentral:rRNA from 1 species
ACGGAAGGCAGCAGUGAGGAAUAUUGGUCAAUGGACGGAAGUCUGAACCAGCCAAGUCGCGUGAAGGAUGAAGGUAUUAUGUAUUGUAAACUUCUUUAGCAGUGGAGUAAUAAGGGGAUCGCGAUCCCUGAUGCAAGUACACUGAGAAUAAGGAUCGGCUAACUCCGUGCCAGCAGCCGCGGUAAUACGGAGGAUCCGAGCGUUAUCCGGAUUUAUUGGGUUUAAAGGGUGCGCAGGCGGUCGAUUAAGUCAGUGGUCAAAUCACGGUGCUCAACGCCGUUCCGCCAUUGAUACUGGUUGACUUGAUUCCGGUCGAGGCAGGCGGAAUUCGUAGUGUAGCGGUGAAAUGCAUAGAUAUUACGAAGAACUCCGAUUGCGUAGGCAGCUUACCAGGCCGGCAAUGACGCUCAUGCACGAAAGUGCGGGGAUCGAACAGGAUUAGAUACCCUGGUA